GACGAACGCUGGCGGCGUGCUUAACACAUGCAAGUCGAACGGAAAGGCCCUGCUUUUGUGGGGUGCUCGAGUGGCGAACGGGUGAGUAACACGUGAGUAACCUGCCCUUGACUUUGGGAUAACUUCAGGAAACUGGGGCUAAUACCGGAUAGGAGCUCCUGCUGCAUGGUGGGGGUUGGAAAGUUUCGGCGGUUGGGGAUGGACUCGCGGCUUAUCAGCUUGUUGGUGGGGUAGUGGAUUACCAAGGCUUUGACGGUUAGCCGGCCUGAGAGGGUGACAGGCAACAUUGGGACUGGGAUACGGCCCAGACUCCUACGGGAGGCAGCAGUGGGGAAUAUUGCACAAUGGGCGGAAGCCUGAUGCAACAACGCCGCGUGCGGGAUGACGGCCUUCGGGUUGUAAACCGCUUUCGCCAGUGACGAAGCGUGAGUGACGGUACCUGCAGAAGAAGUCCCGGCUAACUACGUGCCAGCCGCCGCGGUAACAC
rnacentral:rRNA from 1 species